rnacentral:rRNA from 1 species
CAUGAAGCUGGAAUCGCUAGUAAUCGCGGAUCAGAAUGCCGCGGUGAAUACGUUCCCGGGUCUUGUACACACCGCCCGUCACACCAUGGGAGUCAGUAACGCCCGAAGCCGGUGACCCAACCUAUUCUGGAGGGAGCCGUCGAAGGCGGGACGGAUGACUGGGGUGAAGUCGUAACAAGGUAGC